UAUUCGGAUGGGAUCGGAUGUAUUCGGCCUGACAGAACUCAUUAUUUCCACGUAGACCGAACCGGCAGGUUAUGCGAGACGUUCACUUCGUCGAUGCCGGAAAUAACGAUAUACUCUGAAAGUAAUUAAUGAUAUCGUCUAAUUAAUAUCUCGAUUGCUUCGCAUCGCUAUAAAAUAUUGGAUCUUCCGCAUAGGAACACCAGGAUUGCGUAUAGAAGCUCGCGUAAUUUAAAUGUCCUCGGUAGUAAAGCUGAAUUACGCACUCGUAUUUAAUUUCACUGAGGCAUGAACGUUCUGCCCAGUGCUUCGCUUCUUCCUUCAAGGAAGUCUCCGUUCUGCUCCACGAUUAUAUACCUGGUGUCUGAAGAUCGAAAAAAACAGUGUCUGAAAAUAUAUUUUUAACAAAGAAAAGUACACUCAUCCCAACAUCGUGUAAGUCUUAUGCAAUUAUUAACCUAACGUACCUCUGUCGCAGAAUUACGUCACUGCGUUCUACAAUAGCGACAAAUAUAGUCAAUUGUAUUUACGUACAACAUUCUUUUUCUCUGUCUCUUAAAUAUGGACACCCUGUAUUGAAUGGUGACGAAAAUGAACUCCACGAGGUGGAACUCAGCUCGACUCAACGAAUUGACCCAGAAAUUGUCGUGCCCUUGUCGCAUGAGCUUGGAGUAGCCAAAUGCCUCUUGGCUCAGCGAAGCAAGAGUUCCAAAAUCAAGAAAGAAAAUAAUGGGAAUUCUCUAAAUAGAGAGAUACGAAAUAAGCGAGAAAUAAUUCUUGCGAUGUGCCUAGACGUCAAGAAGGUUAAGUCAUAAGGUUAAGCUCAGUAUAGUCGCAUUAUUGUCACGUUCUUCAAGUUGGUAAGGACAUUCCUGAUCUGUUUGUUUUGCCGUUCCCUGUGCGACGAACCUUCGACGGACAUUGUCAGGAUCGUCAUUGGUUUCUAUCAUUGGAUGACUGCCGGAUCCCCUUUUUGUGAUGGGACUGACCAUGGAAAGUGAGAACGUCCGUAUGCACUCUGGAAGCCAUUAUUCAAUUACCGGUUUAUUGUAUCGUCGCGGGACUGAUAAAUUGACAGGAAUGCUAUUAGAAAAGGUCCUUCUCGGAAAACGAGAGGAAGAAAGAAGGAUGAGACAAAAAAAUGUCGAACUUUUCGAAAAGCUCUUCCAAGAAGCCUAAGAUCCUUUGCAGGAUCUUCCUACCUUUGGCUCCCUUUCUCGCACGGUACCCCUUAAAGGGCAGCUGCUCUUUGUUUGCCUUUGGAGUUUUCCAGGAAGACGCACAGUACCUAUACCCCUGACUUGGUAAAUAUCCCUUUGGAGCUUCACAACAAGGAUGUUUUGGAAUCCUGGCGCCUCCAGGUCCGCCAUAUUUCACGGGUUACUUCACUGCCUCGAGAACGCCGACCAUGAGCCACGCUGGAUGUUUAUAGGUUAUGCUGCGGAUAAUGGACCAGUCUGGCGCCUAGAGAUUUUUUUUUCAAUUGAACCAAGCUUAUCUGGAAAUCACUAGGACCUAUUUACAGACUGAGAGAAGCGUCGUUGAGGCUUCUGAGAUAUAACGGAGCGGCCCGUACCCGCCACUGAGUCUCUUGCAUCUUUUAGUUGCUCGUGCACUCGUGAUGCGCGCUGGCUCUAGCGAAUUGAGCAAUUAUCCGGGGUCAAUAAAUAUUUAUAGACCAUCAGCAUUCAUUCGCAUUGUUACUGAACUCGCCAACCCUUCGGACAAGGCUCACUGUCAUUACUGACGUUACCUACUCUUACCGUAAUUCACUACCCAAUGGACCAUUCAUUGACAAUGAAUAUGAAAAGGUUUGCCAAGGUUUACUUUCACUUGGACUAAUCCUCGAGGCAUCCACACCUACUCCCACAGUCCAGGCUGAACCUGCAGGUAGAUAUCCUGCCGCAGCAGGAUACGGUCUUUCCUCUAUUCUGAAAAUAACGGUAAAAACCUUCCUGGUGGAGAGGCCAUUCUUGGAUUCUGGGGAAUUCCCGGAAAAUGUGAACAAAAUCUGGAAACGCGUGUAAUGCGAUUACCGACAGGUUGCACUUGACCAAAUUCCACGCACUUUACUUUCCCUUUGAAAUUCUUAAGUCUUCGGGUAUCCAUUUGUCAGUUUAAUUGUUCUUUUAUCACUAAUUGCAUUAGUACACAAGACGGGUGCGCCUUGUGGGACUAGAAAUAAAUUGUCUUUGAUAUAGGUAAAGGGCUAACUAAAGUGGACUUGGUACACGUGGUACAUAAGUAAAUAAAGUGUAUCAGUGUUCCCACCCUUGAGAAUGAACACUGACCAAAUAGAGAGCGCAUCGUCUGUUGCACUUAUUUUUUGCGUUGCAACGGACGAAGGACAACUGCACUAUGGUGCAACUGACCCAAGUACUAAUUCUAUUAAAUUCUAUUUUGAAUUCCUCCCGUAGUCUUGCGCUUCUUGAAAUCAAUAUUGUACUUUUUUACUGUGUCGCAGUUUAAUUGAGAAUUUUAUAAAUUUUUUCUCAAUAUUCCCCUACUAUUAGGACUCAGCGAAAUAAGCAUGGUAAAAUUAAUCAUAAGUGCAGUACGCAAUAGUGUCGCUGAAAGUGCAGUUGCGCGCCAGACAGAAUUGUCACGUUCGCGAAUAAGGGAUAACGAGCGAGUAAGUGUAAUGGAUUUUCUGAAAGGCUUGUCGCGGAUUCUCGGCUCGUUUUCUGCCUUUGCAGAAAUAUUUCUCCUCAUUUGGCGAGCGGAUCGUUGGAAUGUCGUUGUCGCCGAUUGAAAGCGAUGCCCUUAGGGUCCGUAGCUAUUAAACUCGUGUGUUUCUAAUGGGGGAUUAAUUGGCGAUCCCUUAGCUCUUGUUGCAAAUGGUGUUUACAUAUUUGUAAAAUAAAACUUAUUUGCUCCUUGGCAAAUUGGGACGUACUUUCUUUAUACGACAAUUCGUAGCAGACCUUAUCAGUGAAUUAAAAAUUGAUAAAAGUGACUCAUCGUUGAUUCCGAAAUGUAAAGGAAGCUUUCGUAAGAUCGUUGAAAAUAUUUUGUCGUAGCUUUGAACAAGUGUAACUUGUUUAUACUGGAUUUUGAAAAUAUUUAAUGUCGGAUAAAUAAUUUUUCAUGCGAAUUUACACUUGCCCGUUACGUUAUCUGCCAAAGUUUAAAUCACGUGCAACUUUGUAAUAUUUACUUGUGUAAGCAUCAUAUUUUUUUUAUUAACUAUACGAUCACCUCUUUAUAGUAAAUUUUACCAUGACCAUACAUCGUUCAUGUAUCAUAGUUUUUUCUGCUUUUCUUUUAUAAAACUUAAAUUUUAAAUCUUUCAUCCGUUGCAUUUCAAUUAACGUUUCUCAGCACGUAGCAGGAAAAUUAUUACAAUGCUUUGUGAUUCCAUGAUUAGGAUGCUAUAGUGUCAUCAAUACUGGAUAGGCUUCCUAUACAUAUUAUGUAAUGAAUUUUCGUUAUGAGCUCAUUUACAAUUCGAGAGUGUCACCUCAAUGGAAUUUUAUACACUGACUACGUAAACUGUUAUCAGGCUGUAUUUCAAUGUCAGCGGAAACACAAUUGUACGUUCUAAUACUUUUUUUCAAUGUUUAAAAAUUAGUGUAAAUUUUUUCUUUUAACGCUAGAUAACGAGUGUUUUAUAUUUUUGGAAAUUUUCAUUAUACACUAUGGUACAAACAAUACAAAUUUAUCAUCCACGUCAAUAAUGCGUUUAUCCAACUGGAUGACGGUCGAGUCCAACUCACUGGUAUCCAAUCAGUUUUUGGUGAGGCUGCUUGGGAUGCAGACUUGCAUCUCCAGACUGGAAUCUCGUUCCCAGGCAACGCGAACCGCCGACUUACCGAACCGACCGGCAUUCGAUGCAUUCACCAUCCCAUUCCCAUACCCAUAUACUAUCUCUAUAGAUAUCCCUAUCUGUAUCACUAACUAACUAUAAUCUUCAUAUAAUAUUGUCCCUGUCGUCAUUUUUGGUAAUAGAAAUAUCGAGAUAAAUAUAUUUAGGUGAAAUAAUACAAACUUUCAAUUUAUAGUCUGUGUAUACUUUUUAUGUGAAUUAAAGGUGAAUUAACUCUUAACUAGUAAGGUGCGGGUCAAUUGGAACCGAGUGCUAUAAGAAAUACACGUCAUAAUAAAUCACCUUACCAGUUAAGGGGACUGAGAAGCUCGAGCGGCCAUCUUGAAUCAGCAGAUGUGAAAAUCGUAAAUAACGUAGAUUUGACAGAUAUUCCUUGCGCGUCCACGUCAUCCAAGGAAUUGUGCAGGGUUAGCAAUUAUUUAUGUACGAUUAUUGAUAAGAUUAAUUGAAAAUUGAAGGAAUUAUUCGAUUAGAAAAUUUUCAUGUGAAACUGGUAAACUUGAAAAAUUUCGAGUUUAACAACUUUGCCGAUUUUUAAUUAAUUAUCGUGGACGCAGCGUGCAAGUGUAAUGCUCGAUUUUUUAAGGUUAUCUGUGAAACUUGCCAUUUUUCAUUUUCAUCACAGAAAAUUCAUGAUGGCCGCUCGUAACCUAUAAUCCUCUAAGGGUUAAAGGGCCUUUUUUUUCCUAGCCAGUCCAAGAGGCAUAGUUGUAUCCGCCCUUAUCAAAAUCGUAUAGUUCAGCGUUCCCCAACGAUAGGCACUUCCGGUCUUUGUGAUAGAUAAAAGAGUCGUGGCUCGAUAUACUUUUAGUUGCGUUUAACUUUUGAUACUGUGAUUUUAUGGUUGACAGAAUAUAUCAAUAGUUGCUGCUCACUCAUAGUUAUGAG